UGCAACUGCGUCAAGUUCAGUCCUUGUCCAGCCGGUGCUGAGGACUGGCCAAGCAGCUGCCACAGCAAUGGCUGGAGCUUCUGAGCCCCCUUGUCCCUCUCCCUCGGCCCUGGGGAUAAAUCUCACUCCAAGACAGAC
rnacentral:snoRNA from 1 species